rnacentral:rRNA from 1 species
AUGGACCAAUCCAUCCCUUUUUCCCGUGCAUAUGCAUCGGACUCGGAUGAUGAUGGUCCCGAUGAAGAAGUUGAUGAGGAGGGGUUCACGCCGAAGGAGGCCGAAGCAUUCAAGAAGGUAUUCGGGCGGGAUCCCAAGACACCAUUGUUCAAGGAUCUUAGUCUCGCGGAUGAAGCCGUUGUGGAUGGUGGCAAAUGCAUAUCUCUUGGAGCUAGGCCAAGUUCUCACCGUGAUUUGGAAGACGGCAAGAACGGGAUAUAUCCCGGUUGUGAGUUUCAAUCCUUCUUGGAAUUGAAGAUGUGGCUCGACAACUACUCGGUUACACAUUAUCGUCCACAUAAAGUGGCCAACUCGGAUGUUAAUGUGCGUUACACGGUUAAAUGUGAAGUGCCAACAUGUCCAUGGAUUGUUCGUGCAAGGCCAUGGAAAGGAGGUCCCACUUGGCGCAUAGUGAGUUGUCUACCAACUCACAUGUGCCGGCACAAGAAUGCGGAUGGCAAGCUUGUGCACCAACAACACAGACAACUCACGUCCGAGUUCAUUGCUUACAGGCUGUCCAACCAAAUAUCUGUUGGGUUUCGUAGUAAUUUCAAAAAUUUUCCUACGCGCACACAGGAUCAUGUGAUGCAUAGCAACGAGAGGAGAGUGUUGUCUACGUACCCAACGCAGACCGACUGCGGAAGCGAUGACACGACGUAG